rnacentral:tRNA from 1 species
GCCAAGUGGAUCAAGGCAGUGGAUUGUGA